rnacentral:rRNA from 1 species
UACGUAGGGCGCAAGCGUUGUCCGGAAUUAUUGGGCGUAAAGAGCUCGUAGGCGGCUUGUCACGUCGGGUGUGAAAGCCCGGGGCUUAACCCCGAGUCUGCAUUCGAUACGGGCUAGCUAGAGUGUGGUAGGGGAGAUCGGAAUUCCUGGUGUAGCGGUGAAAUGCGCAGAUAUCAGGAGGAACACCGGUGGCGAAGGCGGAUCUCUGGGCCAUUACUGACGCUGAGGAGCGAAAGCGUGGGGAGCGAACAGG